GUGCACGCUGGCGGUAGGCCUAACACAUGCAAGUCGAACGGUAGCACAGUAAGAGCUUGCUCUUACGGGUGGCGAGUGGCGGACGGGUGAGGAAUACAUCGGAAUCUACUUUUUCGUGGGGGAUAACGUAGGGAAACUUACGCUAAUACCGCAUACGACCUACGGGUGAAAGCAGGGGAUCUUCGGACCUUGCGCGAUUGAAUGAGCCGAUGUCGGAUUAGCUAGUUGGCGGGGUAAAGGCCCACCAAGGCGACGAUCCGCAGCUGGUCUGAGAGGAUGAUCAGCCACACUGGAACUGAGACACGGUCCAGACUCCUACGGGAGGCAGCAGUGGGGAAUAUUGGACAAUGGGCGCAAGCCUGAUCCAGCCAUACCGCGUGGGUGAAGAAGGCCUUCGGGUUGUAAAGCCCUUUUGUUGGGAAAGAAAAGCAGCAGGUUAAUACCCCGCUGUUCUGACGGUACCCAAAGAAUAAGCACCGGCUAACUUCGUG
rnacentral:rRNA from 1 species